rnacentral:rRNA from 1 species
UACGUAGGCAGCGAGCGUUGUUCGGAGUUAUUGGGCGUAAAGCGUCCGCAGGUGGCACCUCAAGUCUGCUGUCAAAGACCGGGGCUUAACCCCAGAAAGGCAGUGGAAACUGAAGUGCUAGAGUGCAGUAGGGGCAGAGGGAAUUCCCAGUCGUAGCGGUGAAAUGCGUAGAGAUUGGGAAGAACACCGGUGGCGAAAGCGCUACUACUGGGCCAUAAUGGCACUCAG